CCGGCGAACGGGUGCGUAACACGUGAGCAACCUGCCGAUCUGAGGGGGAUAGCCGGCCCAACGGCCGGGUAAUACCGCAUACGUUCUCGAGGGGGAGUCCCCUUGGGAAGAAACCUCCGGGGCAGAUCGAGGGGCUCGCGGCCUAUCAGCUAGUUGGCGAGGUAAUGGCUCACCAAGGCUACGACGGGUAGCUGGUCUGAGAGGAUGGCCAGCCACAUUGGGACUGAGAAACGGCCCAG
rnacentral:rRNA from 1 species